ensembl:lncRNA
AAACACAGUCACACACACUCUGGCCAUCAGACUGUUUGCUGACUUGUCUACGUCGCGUGAUGUCAUCAGGAAUGUGAAAACCCGACUGAAACCGACCCGGGGUUCUGAUCCGCUGCGGACAAGGACGGCUCCUGUGCCCGACCACUUCCCGUACGUAGACGGGGGUAAUAAUCUGAGAAGCCCCAUCAUGGAAAGAGCCCGUAAGAGGACUGGCAGCGAGGGGAAACUUCCGCCAAACUCACAUCUGGAUUGGAGUUUUGUUUGUCGAUUUUGUUGAUUUGGUUUCCACCUGGGUUUAUUUUAAUACAUGUAUUGUGUACAUAAGUGUAUAGAUAUAAUCUGUUUCAAAGUGGUAGUGCCUUUGGUAUUUUUACCGUAUUAGCUUGUUUGAUCGCAGUUUUCUUUAUUGCUGCUACUGUGACACUGUAAUGAAUAAAGUGUUGACCUCUUCUCGUUCCUUUCUGGAAUCGUAAGGAUUUCUUCAGGGGCCUCGAUCACUAGGGAGCUGCAAUAGAGGGGCCCUCACUGGCUUAAGGGCCCCCAGCUGUCCUGAGUGGAGUUCGAAAUUUUCGGUCAUUUCAUUAUCUGUAUGUUUGGGGACCUAGCCUGCUAUUGUGGAAUAUUUCAGAUUAAAACUCGAUUUCAGGAUCUACAUGUGGCGUGAUAUGUGACCAGUUAUUCUGCAUCUUCAAACUAGGGUGACAUUAGUGCAAUAUCUCUCAUCACACGUGUAUUUAAAG